rnacentral:rRNA from 1 species
UGGGGAAUAUUGCGCAAUGGGCGAAAGCCUGACGCAGCAACGCCGCGUGAAGGAUGAAGUAUUUCGGUAUGUAAACUUCGUAAGAAUAGGAAGAAUAAAUGACGGUACUAUUUGUAAGGUCCGGCUAACUACGUGCCAGCAGCCGCGGUAAUACGUAGGGACCAAGCGUUGUUCGGAUUUACUGGGCGUAAAGGGCGCGUAGGCGGCAUGACAAGUCACUUGUGAAAUCUCUGGGCUUAACCCAGAACGGCCAAGUGAUACUGUCGCGCUAGAGUGCAGAAGGGGCAAUCGGAAUUCUUGGUGUAGCGGUGAAAUGCGUAGAUAUCAAGAGGAACACCUGAGGUGAAGACGGGUUGCUGGGCUGACACUGACGCUGAGGCGCGAAAGCCAGGGGAGCAAACGGGAUUAGAUACCCUCGUAGUCCCUGAGCGGGCUGGCAAGGCGCAU